AUGUCUCGCAAAACUCCAGAUCCUCUCUCUCUCUCUCUCUCUCGCUCUACGACUCAAGAACACCAUGCCAGAUCUCUCAUCAGAUGCCGUUUCAUGACAAGAUCGUUGAAGUGGUUCCGACACCUGAGCUCUGGUGGAGGAGACUAGGGUUUCGGCGAAGAUAAAGCCAUCGGAGGCUGAACCACCGGUGCAGGUAUCAUCUUCAUCAUCUAAACUAUCAUUGUUGGGAACAUGGAUGCCGUUUAUUGUUUACAAUUAGAUCCAUUGGCAGCUAUUGAACCAUCUUUCUUCAAGGUUGAAAACCCAAUUAAUUGAGAUGUACGAUAGAUUACGGGUCGGAGCGGUUGCAGGCGGAACAUAUCCAGCAAUUGGAGUGGAUACAACCUGGUUAAGAAACAGGGCUCGAAGGCGGUAUACCUUCCAUAAAAUGGUCUGGUGUAGAUGGAGAGGAUAAUGUUUUAAUUAUUGAUUUGCUAGGACCGAGUCUUGAGGACCUGUUUGUGUACUGUGGGAGGAAAUUUCAAUUGAAAACAGUCUUGAUGUUGGCUGAUUAAAGGAAUUUCGAAUAUAUACCCUACAAGAGUAAGAAUUUGAAGACUCGAGCCAUUGAUGGGGAAUGAAAUGUAAAGAAGCACUUACAAAUUUUGGCUUUGAUACUGCCUAUAAGGGAUCGGCUGGCUCAUGAGUCAAAACCAUGAGUUAAAGUGUCGUUUGCAAGCUAUGGAACAUAUGUCCAGCUUUGAGAUGGUAGCGGUACAAGCAUGGCAAAGGUUUGGAAGGUCUAAUCAGUGUACAGUGCAACAUGGGAAAGAUAUAUGGGAUGGAUUAAGCAAAGUGGAGCUUCCUGUGGGCUGCAGUCCUCCCUUAAGAAUGUUUGGUCUUUUUAUUCACAGAGGAAGUUGGCUUGUGCUGAACAGAAUGAUUUGAUUCACGCAUGGGGCAUCGAUUUUCAACUCGGCUAUUGUGCUCAGGGUGACCGGAAGCAGAAGGUUGGUGUGGUUGAUGCUGAAUACAUUGUUCGUAUUAGUGACCCUUCUCUUUGACUGGACCCAUCUAAUGGAGCUCCUUGCCGUCUGUGAAGUUUCAGAAAAAGAGAACUCGUGUCUUUAUAGACAUCCAAAUGAAAGCUAUGAAGUCACUCUUCUAGCAGAAGCAGUUCCUUUUGAGCUCCCUGAGCCAGCUCUUGGAGUAAACUUUGAAAAGAACGAAGCUGUUUGUGGCCAAGAUUUCGAAAAGCAAAGGAGCAUGUUGUAGGGUGGUAUAGCACUGGCCCAAAGCUACGGGAGAAUGAUCUCGAUAUUCAUGGUCUAUUUAAUAAGCGACUAAACGAGUGGACACGGAUGAGGGAAAUUGGUCGGGUUGGAACUGAAGAAUAGAUGGUGACAUAAUGGUGAAUGGUGCCUUCUUUGUGCCGUCUGGUGAUGAGUUGAGCGCAAUCUAUGCAAAGGCGUCGAGUUAUGAGCCCAAGUCGGCUGCGCUCGUGACGCAGCUGACCAAGUAUGCUAUGCUGGAGUCUUUGAUGGACCAAGGUAUGUGUCUACAUAGUACCGUUGGCCGUUGGCCGAGGUGGCGGUCCAGCUCAUUUGGCUAUAUUGUCUCAGCCAUCGGACACAAUCCAUGGUUCGCUUCGGGUCACUGUUCAAGGUGAGGUUAUCGAACAAUCGUUUGGGGAGGGGAAUUUGUGUUUUCUGAACACUACAACGGUUCACAGCGGCUACACUUGAACAUGGGAUGCAUCCAUCAAUCUUCCCCAAACCCGAAUGGCGCGCACUUAUGGAUGAGUUGGCAGACAUUGCCACUAAUGAAUAUCGGUCCAUAGUUUUUCCGGAGCUCCGAUUCGUCGAAAACUUCCGCGUGGCAACACCUGAGUUGGAAUACGGUCGCAUGAACAUCGGGCGUCGUCCUUCAAAACGAAAGCCAAGUGGUGGGAUUGAAUCACUUAGAGCGAUCCCGUGGAUAUUUUCAUGGACUCAAACAAGGUUUCAUCUUCCCAUUUGGCUCGGUUUUGGAGCUGCAUUCAAGCAUGCUAUUGAAAGGACUCAAAGAACAUCGAGAUGACGAGAGUGAUGUACAAUGAGUGGCCUUUUUUGAGUGAUUCCAAUGCACAAACCUGCAAGAAAUCAUUAAGAUCAUCACAUACGCCUUUUUCAUCUCGAUUAUCUUUUUCACUGGAACUGUAACCGAAGGCAGUUCCAAUAGGCUGGUCAAUGCAUAUCAGUUGUCGUACCAAUUAGGAAUUGGAAAAACGUACUGCUGCUGAUAGAUUCAUCCUUGGAAGGACGAUAUGCUGAUGAUGAUGCAACUGUGGUGGUGGAACUUGCUUUAAGGUGUCUUCAAUAUGAGGGAAGAGAUCGUCCCGAUGUCAUGUUUCUUCUUACAGCAGUGGUACUUGUAUCUCUUCAAAAGCAGAAAGAGGUCAAACCAUGUCUUUUACAAGAUCAUUUGUUUUUAAAUACUUUCUUAUAGCAGUGGUACCGGGAACCACUGAAUGGUUACAUUAUAUCCAGCUUUGUUUGUAACAUGUAUCCCUAAAGUAUCUGCAUUGUUCACUUCUAGGGUCAAACACAGUAACUGCAAUUGCUUAACAGAUAAUGAUCAACCUCAUAGCUGUUACCCAAAUAGAUUAAGGAAUUUGGUUGGUUUUAGUAACUAUAAAUGUUCUCAUGAAAAUUUAUAAUCAUAAUGCGGGGUAUCAAUUUGCUUCAGUGGAGUGGAUAUGGU
rnacentral:lncRNA from 1 species